rnacentral:rRNA from 1 species
GACGAACGCUGGCGGCGUGCUUAACACAUGCAAGUCGAACGGAAAGGCCCCUUUGGGGGUACUCGAGUGGCGAACGGGUGAGUAACACGUGAGUAACCUGCCCUUGACUUCGGGAUAACUUCAGGAAACUGGGGCUAAUACCGGAUAGGAAUCCUUGCUGCAUGGUGGGGGUUGGAAAGCUUCGGCGGUUUUGGAUGGACUCGCGGGUUAUCAGCUUGUUGGUGGGGUAGUGGCUUACCAAGGCUUUGACGGGUAGCCGGCCUGAGAGGGCGACCGGCCACAUUGGGACUGAGAGACGGCCCAGACUCCUACGGGAGGCAGCAGUGGGGAAUAUUGCACAAUGGGCGGAAGCCUGAUGCAGCAACGCCGCGUGCGGGAUGACGGCCUUCGGGUUGUAAACCGCUUUCAGCAGGGGCGAAGCUUGUGGUGACGGUACCUGCAGAAGAAGCACCGGCUAACUACGUG